AAUGAACGUUGGCGGCGUGGAUUAGGCAUGCAAGUCGCGCGAGAAGCCCCUUCGGGGGUGGACAGCGGCGGAAGGGAGAGUAACGCGUGGUUACGUGCCCUCGAGACCGGGAUAGUAACGGGAAACUGUUAGUAAUACCGGAUAACAUCUUCGGAUCAAAGGUGUGAUUCCGCUCGAGGAUCGGACCGCGUACUAUUAGCUUGUUGGCGGGGUAAUGGCCCACCAAGGCUGCGAUGGUUACCGGGUGUGAGAGCAUGGCCCGGCUCACUGGGACUGAGACACUGCCCGGACACCUACGGGUGGCUGCAGUCGAGAAUCUUCGGCAAUGGACGAAAGUCUGACCGAGCGACGCCGCGUGCGGGAUGAAGGCCCUCGGGUUGUAAACCGCUGUCAGUUGGAAGGAAAUCCAUAGGGGUUCUCUCCUAUGGUUGACCGAUCUUCAGAGGAAGGACGGGCUAAGUUCGUGCCAGCAGCCGCGGUAAGACGAACCGUCCGAACGUUAUUCGGUAUCACUGGGCUU
rnacentral:rRNA from 1 species